GUCCACACCUUAAACGAUGUAUGCUUGAUGUUGGGGAUGUAUGUUCUCAGUGUCGAAGGAAAUCCGAUAAGCAUACCACCUGGGAAGUACGAUCGCAAGGUUGAAACUCAAAGGAAUUGACGGGGGCCCCGCACAAGCGGUGGAUCAUGUGGUUUAAUUCGAUGCAACGCGAAGAACCUUACCUGGGCUCGAAAUUUUGGUAGUAGGACCCUGAAAGGGGAACGAUAGGUUCAGCCCUAAGCCAGAAUAGGUGCUGCAUGGCUGUCGU
rnacentral:rRNA from 1 species